rnacentral:rRNA from 1 species
GUUCACGCGUCGACGGGUAGCCGGCCUGAGAGGUGACCGGCCACACUGGGACUGAGACACGGCCCAGACUCCUACGGGAGGCAGCAGUGGGGAAUAUUGCGCAAUGGGCGAAAGCCUGACGCAGCGACGCCGCGUGAGGGAUGACGGCCUUCGGGUUGUAAACCUCUUUCAGCAGGGACGAAGCGAAAGUGACGGUACCUGCAGAAGAAGCACCGGCCAACUACGUGAGCACCC